AUGUCCUAUGCUGCUGGUGCUAACCAAAGUGCUAUUCCACUUGGUGGGAUGGCCACAUAUUCAGCGGGCAUGGACAGUGGAAACCAUGGCGCUACAAGGACCGAAUAAAAAACUCUAUGUGGAAGGACUACCUUCGAACUGCACAAAGAGAGAGGUUGCACAUAUCCUUUUUAUGCCUGUAAACUAAAAUCACAUUUUCCUAGCUAUAAUUAGUCUAGGUAUCUUUUGCGAUGUAAUUCAUGUUACACCUCCUAGGUGCUUUUGCCCUUAACCCUGUCUUCUUCAGAUAUUCUUCGCCCCUUUCUGGUUUCUUUGAGGUGAGAUUGGUCAACAAGGAGUCUAGAUAUGUGGAAGGUAUAUAAUCUCUUGUGUUUUGUUGAUUUUGCAACUCCUUCUGAAGCUCGUGCUGCUCUGGAGACUCUGCAAGUGAUCACCAGUUACUACUAAGGAAAGGUGUUCGGUGAUGCCACUAAGAUCAUGGUUCCAGGGACGAUGCAAAGGCAAUGGAACAUGUUUCACUGAGGUUCUCAUUCAGGGCAAAGGGGAAUUGCUCUUCGGAGCUAUGUGAAUUUGUUUGGCAGAAACACUGCUUCGUAUGGUUGCAAGUGUAUUCUAGCGUGAAUUGUAUUUUCUCAAGGUCUAAACUGUAACUGAAUUUAAAUUGUAAUGCUUGGAGUGAAUGUCUUAAGUUAAAAACUUUUGCUUUUUGUUUGAGUUAAGUA